GUUGGGAACCUGCCAGCAUCAGAAAUAUGUCGGGGGCAAGAAAUAGUUAGGAACCUGCCAGCAUUUUUUAGUUGGUAUAAAUGACAUCUAUUGGUGAGGAAGAGCUGUGAUUUUGCCACUCCUUCCCUUCUUUCCUCCUUCUCUCCUGUUCCCUUCUUUCCUCCUUUCCCUCUGCCCCUUCUCCCCUCCCUCCUCCCAGGCCCUCCAGGAAUUAUUCAACAAAGGCCAGAAAUAGUUAGGAAGCUGGCCGCAGUGUUUUUAGCUGCUGUAAAUGUCAUCUUAUGGUGAGGCAGAGCUGUGCCUUUGCUGUUACUCAUACUCCUUUUUCCUCCUCUCUGACCCUCCAGGAAUUUAAUGAAGGCAAAAAAUAGCAAAGAGGCUGCCAGUAUUUAGUUCAUAUUAAGUGACAUCUUUAGUGAGGAAGAACUUUGAUUGAUUUCCUUUUUCCUCCCCUCAAAUCCCUCCAGUAGGCUGAGAAGAAGCUCCAGAGCCUGGCCCCGGAGAUGGAGGGGCAGCGGCGGGCCAGGAAGCCCUCCAGCUCUGAGACGUGUGGCGCCACAACCAACAACUCCGCGUGCAGGGCGGGCUUAGAGAAAGGCUUUACACAGACCCUGGAUAAUGCUCCUGGUCUUGUUCCUCUUCUUCUUCUUGUUCUUCUUCCUCUUUACCUUAGUCAUGCUGCAUUAUGAAUCAUGUUAAUUAAUAUAUCCUCUUCUUCUUUACCUUAGUCAUACUGUGUUAUGAAUCAUGUUAAUUAAUAUAUCCUCUUCUUCUUUACCUUAGUCAUGCUGCGUUAUGAAUCAUGUUAAUUAAUAUAUCCUCUUCCUCUUUACCUUAGUCAUGCUGCAUUAUGAAUCAUGUUAAUUAAUAUAUCCUCUUCCUCUUUACCUUAGUCAUGCUGCAUUAUGAAUCAUGUUACUUAAUAUAUCCUCUUCUUCUUUACCUUAGUCAUGCUGUGUUAUGAAUCAUGUUACUUAAUAUAUCCUCUUCUUCUUUACCUUAGUCAUGCUGUGUUAUGAAUCAUGUUAAUUAAUAUAUCCUCUUCCUCUUUACCUUAGUCAUGCUGCAUUAUGAAUCAUGUUACUUAAUAUAUCCUCUUCUUCUUUACCUUAGUCAUGCUGUGUUAUGAAUCAUGUUAAUUUAUAUAUCCUCUUCUUCUUUACCUUAGUCAUGCUGCGUUAUGAAUCAUGUUAAUUAAUAUAUCCUCUUCUUCUUUACCUUAGUCAUGCUGCGUUAUGAAUCAUGUUCAUAUCAGACAUGGGGUAAUCGUAAUCAAUUACAAUUGUUUACAGUUUUUCAAGUAAUCGUAAUCAAUUACAAUUGUUUACAGUUUUUCAAGUAAUCGUAAUCAAUUACAAUUGUUUACAGUUUUUCAAGUAAUCGUAAUCAAUUACAAUUGUUUACAGUUUUUCAAGUAAUCUUAAUCAAUUACAAUUGUUUACAGUUUUUCAAGUAAUCGUAAUCAAUUACAAUUGUUUACAGUUUUUCAAGUAAUCGUAAUCAAUUACAAUUGUUUACAGUUUUUCAAGUAAUCGUAAUCAAUUACAAUCGUUUACAGUUUUUCAAGUAAUCAUAAUCAAUUACAAUCGUUUACAGUUUUUCAAGUAAUCUUAAUCGAUUACCCUCUUAUUUUUUUAAAAUAAUCGUAAUCGUAAUCGAAUACAUUAUAAAAGUACAACUGUAAUCGUGAUUACUUUUGUGAUUACAUUAGCAAAGUUUAGUUAAUAGUUUCUCGUACAGCAAGUAUGUACUCUAAAUAUCUGUAGUAAUUCAACCAAUUAAAUAUUCAGCAUGGUACAUGUGUGAAAUUUGCAAGUUCACCUUUCACUCCUUCCUGUAGUCAUGAUUAAUACAUCAUAUAAUCGUAAUCGUAAUUGAUUACACUUAAUUUUAUUGUAAUUGUAAUCGCAAUCGUGAAAAUAUGAAGUAAUCAUAAUCGUAAUUGAUUACAUAACAUAAGUAAUCGCCCCAUGUCUGGUUAAUAUACAGUAAAAUCUUGCUAGCUUCUCUUCUCUCCUCCUUCCCCUCCUCCCUUCCCCUCUCCCCUCCCUCCCCCAACACAUUCCCUACACAUUUCUCCUCCUCCCCAGCCUGAGCACCUCACCACAGAGCUGUCCAAGAUGCCUCACGUCCAAGAAGUCCCAGGUUUACAAGUGGAAGGGCCUGCUCAAGGAACUCCGCUGCUCUCUCCUGGACGGAAGGAACCAGGAGAUGGAGAGGAGAUGAAGAAGAAGAAGAAAAAGAAGAGGAAGAAGACUUAGGAACAAAGAACCCCGACAAAAGAUGAAGAAGAAGAUGAAAGAGAAGAAGAAGAUGAAAGAGAAGAAGAAGAAGAAGGAGGAAGUGAAGAAGAAAAGUUUGUCUUUCAAUAAUAAUAAUAAAAUAUAUGUUGAAAGAAAUCAGUUUAAAUUUUGUCCAUAUAACACACACACAGACAUAUACCCUCUCCUUCUCUUCUUUUCUUCUUCUUCUU